AAUGGAUCUACUGGCAGUAGGUGAUGUUGCUCUUGUGGCAGCAAUUGGAAGUGAAAGUGGAGCCGGAGUUGGAUCUGGGGUUUGGUCAGGAUCUCUAGCUGGUUUGAGAGUUUGAUGUUGCAGAUUAAGUGGAAGAUGGUGUUCAAGAGUUUGAGGUGUAACGGUUUGAUGACGAUGAUCACUUUUUGUUGCUCCGAAGGCUGAAAUUAUAGAAGCAGAAGGGAUUUUGCAGGAGGAAUCUCUAUUAGGUGUAUUGUAA
rnacentral:misc_RNA from 1 species